AGCCUCAUCUUCUCUAUGAUUUAGAUAAGUGCAGAUUGCAUAACAUGUCAAAGUUUGCUUUUACUGUAAUUUGACCACCAUGGCAAGGCAUGACAUGAUCAUGAUGGGUUUUCUCUCAUUAGAAGGAAAGAAAAGCUUAAAAUCUUUUAUUAAUGUCCACAGGAUGACACAUUGGCUUGAAACAGUAAUCAAUCAUUCAAGUUUCCAAUUAAUUUUUUCAAUUUGAUUAUUAUUAUUUGCAUUUAAGCACACUUUAGGUGCAAUUGAAGAGUUGUGAUGGAAUUGAAGUGGUGUGUGGAAAAGGGUAGACAUUCGAAAUUGGCUUUAAAAAAAUGUACUUAAAGUGGACUUUCUUCUCUCCUUUACUUUAGUUGAGAUGUGUCACUUCUUUAUCUCAG
rnacentral:misc_RNA from 1 species